UGGUAAUGGAGAAUUGAGGGUAUAAGAUUAUACUGACUUAGAUUUUAUAUCUGACCUUGAUGAUUGAAAGUCAACAUCAGAUAGUAUUUUUUUUGUUCAUCGAUAGUGCUGUAAGAUGGAAGAGUUCUAAGCAAUCUGUUAUUGCAGACUCCAUCAUGGAAGUAGAAUACAUAGCCGCAUCGGAAGUUGCUAAGGUGGCAUUCUGAUUCAAGAAGUUCGUUGCGGAGCUAGGUGUGAUGCCAUCAGAUACCAUCCUCCUCUUCUACGAUAACAAUGAUGUC
rnacentral:lncRNA from 1 species